rnacentral:lncRNA from 1 species
GUUACCUCCUGCUUUAGAUCUAGAAUGUAUACCAACCAGAAAAACAAGGCAAUUGUCUUCUUAAUGAAUUAUUUUUGAGUCAGAGCAUCUUUCUCCAUCCCCUUUCUGCAUUAGUUCUUAAAUAGCUAGUCUUCAAAGCCAACAAACCUAGAACAAACUGGGCAGGAUGAGAAAAUGGGUGCUGGAGAGGAUGGGUGAUGGAGAAGUGCUGAUAAUAUUACCCUGCUUUUUGGGAUAAAUAGUCCCAAAAAGUCAAGUGUGAUAAUUUUGAGAAAAGAACCCUAACGACCCUGAGUUUGGAGAACUGAAGAUUUUGACUGUUUUUUUGUCAUAGUGUCUUUUCAGAGUGAUUAAGAGGGAGGAAAAGAUUUCAAAGGAGUGUAUUUUCCAGAAAUAAUUGAGUAUUAUUAGAGCGACAGUUGAAUAUGUCAACCUAAACUCUCUAGCUAUGGGUCCGGGAAAAAAUGCAACCAAUCAAUCUUCUCACCAGUCUUGCCAUCCAGACAACAGAGAACUGAGGCAAGUAUAUACCAGCCCCUUACCUCUUUACCAAAACUGAAUCUUGUGGGAGCUCAUCUCAUUUAGUGUAAUUAAAACAAUAAAAGAUUCCUCAAGGUGGAUGAAUAAUACACAAAAGCGG